UACGUAGGGUGCGAGCGUUGCCCGGAUUUAUUGGGCGUAAAGGGCGCGUAGGCGGCUUGGCACGUCCGUUGUGAAAUCGCCCGGCUCAACUGGGCGGGGUCAGCGGAUACGGCCGAGCUUGAGCAAGCUAGGGGGCAAUGGAAUUCCCGGUGUAGUGGUGGAAUGCGUAGAUAUCGGGAGGAACACCGAUGGCGAAGGCAGGUCUCUGGGCCACUACUGACGCUGAGAAGCGAAAGCAUGGGGAGCGAACAGG
rnacentral:rRNA from 1 species